UACGUAGGAGGCAAGCGUUGUCCGGAAUUACUGGGCGUAAAGCGCGUGUAGGUGGUGGGACAAGUCUGCUGUGAAAGCGCCUGGCUUAACCGGGCGAGGUCGGCGGAAACUGUCCGACUAGAGGACGGUAGAGGGGGGUGGAAUUCCCGGUGUAGUGGUGAAAUGCGCAGAUAUCAGGAGGAACACCGGUGGCGAAGGCGGGUCUCUGGGCAACAACUGACGCUGAGGAGCGAAAGCGUGGGGAGCGAACAGG
rnacentral:rRNA from 1 species